rnacentral:miRNA from 1 species
UAUAUGGACGGAGUCUGAAACAG